ACGAACAGCACAAUUACGAAAGAAUAAAAAAACUGACGGGAAAACUGCGAAGGUAGAUGAGGAAUGUUAUAUCAAACCUGAUUUCGAAAUCAAUAGAAAAUCUUAAGUGAACGGUUCAAUAGAGUGUGGAAAAAUAUUCAGAGGGGCGAAGGCUUUAAAGUGGAUGGAAUGAUUUGAGGAAGAGCGUAUUCUAAAUAAAGAAACGAAUUUUGUGUAUCUAAAAUAUGAGUGACAUUUAGUGGAAUUAGAGGGAAAUAAGAAGAAUUCAAUGAAAUUCAUUAAAAUUCAAGUAAAUUGAAAACAAUUCGAACAUAUGAAAAACUUAGUUGAAUCCAGUAA